rnacentral:rRNA from 1 species
GACCGGCGCACGGGUGCGUAACGCGUAUGCAAUCUACCUUUUACAGAGGGAUAGCCCAGAGAAAUUUGGAUUAAUACCUCAUAGUAUAAUGACUCGGCAUCGAGUUAUUAUUAAAGUCACAACGGUAAAAGAUGAGCAUGCGUCCCAUUAGCUAGUUGGUAAGGUAACGGCUUACCAAGGCUACGAUGGGUAGGGGUCCUGAGAGGGAGAUCCCCCACACUGGUACUGAGACACGGACCAGACUCCUACGGGAGGCAGCAGUGAGGAAUAUUGGACAAUGGGCGCAAGCCUGAUCCAGCCAUGCCGCGUGCAGGAUGACGGUCCUAUGGAUUGUAAACUGCUUUUGUACAGGAAGAAACACUGGUUCGUGAACCAGCUUGACGGUACUGUAAGAAUAAGGAAUCGGCUAACUCCGUGCCAGCAGCCGCGGUAAUACGGAGGAUCCUAAGCGUUAUCCGGGAAUCAUUGGGUUUAAAGGGUCCGUAGGCGGUUUAAUAAGUCAGUGGUGAAAAGCCCAUCGCUCAACGGUGGAACGGCCAUUGAUAACUGUUAAACUUGAAUUAUUAGGAAGUAACUAGAAAUAUGUAGUGUAGCGGUGAAAUGCUUAGAGAUUACAUGGAAUACCAAUUGCGAAGGCAGGUUACUACUAAUGGAUUGACGCUGAUGGACGAAAGCGUGGGUAGCGAACAGGAUUAGAUACCCUGGUAGUCCACGCCGUAAACGAUGGAUACUAGCUGUUGGAAGCAAUUUCAGUGGCUAAGCGAAAGUGAUAAGUAUCCCACCUGGGGGAGUACGUUCGCAAGAAUGAAACUCAAAGGAAUUGACGGGGGGCCCGCACAAGCCGGUGGAAGCAUGUGGUUUUAAUUCCGAUGAUACGCCGAAGGAACCUUUACCAAGGGCUUUAAAUGUAAGAUUGAACCGUUUUGGAAACAGAACUUUCGCAAGACAAUUUACAAGGUGCUGCAUGGUUGUCGUCAGCUCGUGCCGUGAGGUGUCAGGUUAAGUCCUAUAACGAGCGCAACCCCUGUUGUUAGUUGCCAGCGAGUCAAGUCGGGAACUCUAACAAGACUGCCAGUGCAAACUGUGAGGAAGGUGGGGAUGACGUCAAAUCAUCACGGCCCUUACGCCUUGGGCUACACACGUGCUACAAUGGCCGGUACAGAGAGCAGCCACUGGGCGACCAGGAGCGAAUCUAUAAAACCGGUCACAGUUCGGAUCGGAGUCUGCAACUCGACUCCGUGAAGCUGGAAUCGCUAGUAAUCGGAUAUCAGCCAUGAUCCGGUGAAUACGUUCCCGGGCCUUGUACACACCGCCCGUCAAGCCAUGGAAGCUGGGGGUGCC